rnacentral:rRNA from 1 species
UACGGAAGGGGCAAGCGUUGUUCGGAAUCAUUGGGCGUAAAGGGCGCGUAGGUGGUUCUGUAUGUCUACCGUGAAAGCGUACGGCUCAACCGUAUUUUGUCGGUGGAAACUGCAGGACUUGAGGCUGGGAGGGGCUGGUGGAAUUCCCUGUGUAGCGGUGAAAUGCGUAGAGAGUGGGGGAGAACACUCGUGGCGAAGGCGGCCAGCUAGACCAGUUCUGACACUGAGGCGCGCAGCGUGGGGAGCAAACAGG